rnacentral:lncRNA from 1 species
CCCACCCACCCAGGCCGCCCUCCACCAGUGGCCCCGCUGUGUCGGGAGCUGUAUCUAAAUGACGUCCUGCGAGGUCAAGACGGAAGGCCUCUGCCUAAGGGCAGGAGGCGGUGCCCACCUCUGCCGCUCUCUUCAGCAUGGCGCUGCAGGGUCCAACCAGGGCGACCAGAAAGGAGAAACACGAUGCCCCUGUUGGGAAGGAGGAAGCAGAGUUUGCCAGUUGCAAUGACAGACAGCCUUCUGUGUUGAAGACCCCGAGGCCCCUACAGCGCUGUUAGGAGAGCCACAGAGGGCCACACGCGUGAGCAAGGCAUGGCGCUUCUGUGCCUGAUGAAGCGGAUGGCAGGAAGCCGGCUGCACAGUACUGUCCCACGUGCCACAGGGGGGAAGGCACGGGCAGGAGGUCUGCAGGACUUGCUGAGAGGGGUCAAGACCAGGGAGAAGGGUGUCCGGGACUGGACACAGCACUGUGAGUCCGCUUCCUGGGCCUGGUCUUGGGCCACGUGCCGCCCUGUUGGAAUCCUGGGCUUUGUCUGCCGGAAGUCUCAGGGCUUUGGGAAUCCCAUGAAUCCCCAAGACCAUCCUGCAGGAGCAGAGACGGAGAACUUCAUGCUUCACUCCUCACUUCAAACCUGCCACAAGCCACUGUCGCCAACGUCCUGACGCCAGCAGGAC